CAGCCGCCACGGUAAUACGAAGGGGGCUAGCGUUGCUCGGAAUGACUGGGCGUAAAGGGCGCGUAGGCGGAUGGCACGGUCAGAUGUGAAAUUCCCGGGCUUAACCUGGGGGCUGCGUUUGAUACGUGUCGCCUAGAGUGAGGAAGAGGGUUGUGGAAUUCCCAGUGUAGAGGUGAAAUUCGUAGGUAUUGGGAAGAACACCGGUGGCGAAGGCGGCAACCUGGUCCUUGACUGACGCUGAGGCGCGAAAGCGUGGGGAGCAAACAGGAUUAGAUACCCCCGUAGUCCCUGUCUCUUAUAC
rnacentral:rRNA from 1 species